UACGGGGGGGGCAAGCGUUGUUCGGAAUUACUGGGCGUAAAGGGCUCGUAGGCGGCCAACUAAGUCGGACGUGAAAGCCCCAGGCUCAACCUGGGAACUGCGUUCGAAACUGUGGGUCUGAGUGUCGGAGAGGAUGGCGGAAUUGCUGGUGUAGCGGUGAAAUGCGUAGAGAUCAGCAGGAACACCCGUGGCGAAGGCGGCCCCCUGGGCCGUACCUGACGCUGAGGCGCGAAGGCUAGGGGAGCGAACGGG
rnacentral:rRNA from 1 species